rnacentral:tRNA from 1 species
GGAGAUGUAGCUAAGAGGAACAGUCUCUGCUUGGCACGCAACAGGUCCCGGUUCAAUCCCCAGCAUCUCCA